rnacentral:lncRNA from 1 species
AUAAGUUCUUGGUGAUAACUAGAAACCCAAAUUCCAUUCCUAGUCGAUAAAAGGGGCCUGGAUUGCUGUGAGCAAGACAGCAGAGCAUGGAAAGGGCGAACAAGAGACGAGCGAGCUUUAGAGACUGACAUUGUGAUGAAUUUUCUCUCCCAGCUCUGAGAAGUUUAUCCGGUGGUCGUACAGAAGCCCUACUUGAAACCUUUUGUAAGUCUAAGUGCUUCUGAAAGGCUCUCCUCCAGGGGUGCAGCUCCCUGCCCUCCAGUGGUGUCGUGAAAGAAUGUCAUUCACCCUCCCGUCAACCCUGAGAACAAGAGGCCAUUUCUCAGCGGGUGAAUCAAGCUACCAUGAGUGCCAAGGUGUCAGAGGGACUCAACUUGUCCCUUGCCAGUCACAUGAUCCUUGGCUGAGGCCUCCCCUUUGGAAAGCAGGACAAUGUCGCAUCUGCAUCUCACUCACGGACCCCAGGUGCCAGCUGAGGGUCAGGCGGCAAGGUCACGGCGUUGACAAUAAUCACCAUCCAGUGACAGACAGCCGUGUCUGGCUCGGUGCUAAGCCCUCACACGUGUGAACUCUCUUCAUCUUUGCACCAGCUUGGUGACGAAGGUAUAUUUUAUGCCCACCUCCAAGCCUGUUUCAUAAAUAAAGAUUCAGAGGCUUCGAGAAGGGGAGAGGUGCCCCGAUCGCACCCUAGAAGGAGGCAGGCGGGAGGACCUUCUCCGCGGAACUCAGGUUGGACUCAGACUCACAGAGAUGCCUCAGCUGCCACCUGCCCCCCGCUUGAGCAGAACUUUCGUUCUAGAGAACUUGCUGGCUUCGUAGUAAUCCCUUCCUUUCUGGCUCCUGGGAUCUUGUUCACUGUCUGGUCCUCUUCAAGCCCUGGAACACAGUAGGUGUUCAACAAAUAUUUGCAGAAAGAAUAGUUCUCAUUCAUGUCGCUGUUUGAUCUUCCCCCACAGCCCUGUGAGGGAGCGAAUUAGGAAAUGUGAUUGCUGCCGGUGUUAGUCAUCUCGCUAGCGGGAGGGAUGGAGCGACUUCCUCCUGGUCACACAGCCCAGCCACUGAGCUGGAGCUCCGGGCUCCUGGCUCCCUUCCCAGGCCUUUCCAACCCUGUCAAGACCUGGGCCCCUGCUGUUACAGGACAAAGAUAUUAAUUGGGAGGAGGAAUCCUUUGAGUCAUUACCAGCAAUAAUAAUAAUAAUUACAGUCAUACUCAUUGUAAUCUCUAACUCAUAGAAGCCUCGUAUCAAUAGCACCAAUGAGGCACUGUUAUUAUCCCGGUUUUAUAGUUAGUCCCAGAGAGAUUCAGCACUGCCUCAGCAUCACACAGCUAAGAAGUGGUGGAGCUGGGACUCAGACUCCAUCUGGCUCCAGAGCUCGUAGACCACAUACUCCUAACAUUUUAGAACAAAUUAGCUUCCUCAGCUGAACCCAGCAAGGCUCACAGCACAGCCAGGCUGAGCUUGGGUGAGGGAUGGGGCUGAAUGAAAUGUCCACCCGUUCCCUCCUUCCAUUCAUUCUGACAGUUGGCGAGCCUUCCCUGAGCUCCACCUGCGUGCUCAGCCAAGUGUCUGGCCCCAGGAUGUGGCCCAAAUGGGAAAGGGCUCUCCCUGUCCCAUGCAGCCAUGGGCCUGGCAGGAGAGGCGGAUGUCAUAAUUAUGUGGUUAAUUGUUUCAUUAGAGCAAAGAUGAGACCACCAUGGAGGUUAGGGCUCUGCCAGCCUCUAAUGGGCACGGACCAGGGUUGGGAGCUGGGGAGGCUGCCCCAGGGGGCUGACAGCUCAGCUCAAAGCUGAAGGGUGGGUCUGGGUCAGGUGAGCGGAGUGGGACAGCAUUCCAGGCAGAGGGCACAGCCUGGGCGGCAGCUUGGCUCUGACUAGGACGGAAAGACAGCAGGUGAGGCUGGUGCUGGCAAGGGAGGAGGAAAGGAGUUGAGGGGGAGGGGGGUGCCAGGGACGUGGGCCAGCACCCACCCGCCCAGCGCUUGAGUCCUCCCAUUCAGAAUGAGAGCUCCUAUAAUCGUCCUUAGUUUUGCUCUUAUCCUGAGAGAGCCAGGGGGAAGGGAACGUUCAAAAUUCCCAUUCCUCCCCAGCUAGCUGGGUGUGGAUGGUCCUCCAAUGAGCACUUACUCCACCACGCCAUGCAUUUAUGCAGCUGUUUGCACUCGAUGACGUGCUCGCUGUCCUGUUCGACCCCGACAGCCCCCUGGAGGGAGGAAAGGAGCACAGGUGUCAGGCCCCUGUACAGCAGAGGAAACUAAGGCAGGAGGAGGUGGUUCGCCACCCCAGCAUCCCGCCCCCAGCACACAGUCUGAUGUCCAGGCCUUCCUUUCACGGUUGCCUUUUCUCCUCUGUAAGAUGCACUUAUCAGCACCUGAGUCUCUAGGUUGCUGGGGGUUACAUGACAUAAUCCAGGUAACGAGCUGAGCGGUGGAGGUUCAAGGUCAGUGUCCGGGAAACAGUGGCUGCCAUCAUCAUAACCGUGAUCAUCACUCUUAGGGUUCCUGCACUCGACUUCUUCCUGAGCACCUGCUCUGCUGUGUGCCGGGCUCCAUGCCAGGCGCUGGGAGGCGGGGAGGUGUGGGAUGUGUCCCCUGUUCCUAAGGAACUUACGGUCUAGCGGGGGAGGCAGUUAAUCAGCAACCUGAGGCCAAGAAGGAGCCGGGCUCAGGGCAGGCAUGGCCAGGAAGCCCAGAGGAGAUGGAAUUUGAGCUGCACUGUGACAGCAUCUUGGACCUUGGAAAUGGGAGAGUGGGUGAGGACUCCGGGGACACCUCCAACAGAUAGUGGUGGAUGUCCCCGGGGCUGGAGCGGACAAAGGUGAGGCUGGUGAGUUCGUGAGAGUCACACCCGAAGGGAAUGAAUUGCUGCUCCGUGUCCCAUGGUGAGUGGGUGUGCACAGGGCAUCAGGUGUAAGACCCACUGCCUGGACCACCACGGUCAACGCAGCACUGACAGACGCAAGGCUCAUGGUUUCAAUGAAGCGUUCCACCAAGUGGAGCAGAUCCUUCUCGACAAUAGCAUUUAUUUGGAAUUCUUUUCUAAUUAUACAAGGAAAUUAUGCACAGUGCAGAAAAGAUGGGACGCAAACACAUACACAGCAGGGGAAAAGUGUCAAAGUCAUUUGUGGCUCAGCACGUGGAUAGCCAUCCUUCCCGUCCUUUUAUUCUCUGAAGGGGCCGAUUCCAAUGCUGCGAGAGGAAGCACAGGAGGUGACAGGCCAGAGGAGGUCCAGGACAGCUUUGGGGAGAAGGUGACAUUCAGACUCACCCUUAUAGGAGGGGCAGGGUUUGGAAAGAUCACAGAAAAGAAGAGGGACAACAUGGCUAAGGCACACGGACUGGGGAGAUGGAUAAAGAGCGUCAGCCUCUCGCGUGCACAUCGAGUGUCACCUCGUCUGCUCGUCCCAACACUCCCUGGGGUGGAGACAAGAGCACCCUCAUGGCCAGGGUCCUAGACCCAGGGCCGUGAAGGGGGGAUGCCAGGAAUGGGGGCGGGUUACUGGGGACUGAACCCCACUGAGCUCUGUUGGCCACUCCGGGCCCCUAUCCUUGUGAGGAAGUGGAAGAGCUUAAGGAGCUGGGGCCAUACCAGCCACUGAAGGAAGUGGCAUGAGGGGAACUUCCAUCCGUCUGUCCCCUGCUGCAGCGGCUUUAUCGGGGCCCUGCAGAUCUCUACAAUCGCUGCUGCCCAUCUGAAGCCGGGCUUCUGGGAACAGGGGCCUGCCACCCUCGAGGAGAUAAGGCAGCCCUGGUCAUGUGGCUCGAACUGUUGGUGACCAAGCAGAAGCUGCAGCAAGGCCGAUGGCCGGCUGGAGGGGAGGCCAUGCCAGCUUCUGACCACCUCCCCAGGAAAACAGCAAUAGGAAUGGUAUUUAAAACCCUCCCAGGUAUACCAUGCCUUUUGGUUCACAAAGUGCUUUUACCCCCAUUCUCAGUGCAAAAAGGCAAGGUGGGCCUCAGAGCAGGCCUGGGGUCUAGUCCUCAGGCUACCACUUGCUGGCUCUGUGACCGUGGGCAGCUGACAUCACCUCUCUGAGCCUCAGUUUCCUCAUUCGUCCAAUAAGAGCAGUAACACUCUCUCCUUUUCCGAUCUCCGUGUCUAGCCAGCCUGUUGCCACCUUCCUCCUGGCCCUGUUCCCUGCAGUGGGUACCACCUUCGUCUGCACGCCAGACCCCAGACAUUUGCCAGGCUGGGAGUUGAGUCAGACCUCGUCCACCAACUUGCUGCUGGAGUGGACGGGCCUAGACAGCCAGAGGAUUCUUGUCCUGACUCCCAUCCGGCAGCCAGCACUUGCCAGGCCCAGCCAGGGCUGGAUGAGAGGGAGGGCGGAGAGGAGGGGAGCCCCGAUGGGAAGGCUCCGAUUUUGCCGGCGAAGGCUUUUGUGCUCCGGAAUGCCAGACCAGUGCAGUCGGCUCUGCCAAUGAGGAGACUGGCCUCCAACAAUAAUGUUUUUCCCUGGGUUUUCCAGAAGGCAUCAGCUGCUUUCUAAUUCAAACCAUCAGGAGGAAGCUUACAUGUGCUGAGUCGCAAAACGCCUGUAGAAAUAAAACUGCUCCCCAUGCCAGACAAGAGCUGGGCUGGACAGGGCUCUGGCCAAGGGGCCCCUGAGCCAGAGGCUGUGAGCUCCUCCCAGGGCCCCCUCCAGGCCUGCCCAGGCCCUCAGCUGGCGCCCUUCCCGGGGCACACUUGCCAUCAGUUACUCCACCCACACCCACGAGGGCCUACGGUGUGCCAGAAACUGUGCAAGGUUUUUGGAGUGAGCACUGUAGCUGUUAUUAUAGUUCACAUUUAUUGAGCAUGUGUUGUAUGCCAGCAACUAUGCUAAACACCUUACAUUCACUGUCUCUCAUCCACGUGCUGUGGUUCCAUUCCACAGAAGAGAAUGAUGAGGCUCAGCGAGGCAGAAAGACCCAACAGAAGUGAAGAGUUGGGCUUCCAGCCCUGGGUCUGUCUUCAGGGCUCCGUCACCACGCCUUGCUGCCUGGCAAUGAAAAGGUGUGAAGCUCCCCACUCCACACCUGCUCGGGUGGCUAGAAUCAAAGGCAAGUGAUAACAAGGGUUGGAGAGGAUGCGGAGAAAUGAGAACACUCAUCCGCUGCGAUGGGAGUGUCAAAUGGUGCAGCUACUUUGGAAAACAGUCAGUUCCUCAAACAAUUAAUCAUAGAAUUACCACACGACCCAGUGAUGCCUCUCCUAGGUGUAUACCCAAGGGAAAUGAAAACAUACGUCCACACAAAAACUUGUACUGGAAUGUUCAUAGCAGCGUUAUUCAUAAUAACCAAAAGGUGGAGACAACCCAAAGGGGCAAACAACAGUGGUCUAUCUGUAUGAUGGAAUAUUAUUCAGCCAUUAAAAGAAGAAUGAAGUCUGAUACCUACCACAACAUAGAUGAACCUUGAAAAUGUUAUUCUAAGUGAAAGAAGCCAGUCACAAAAGUCCGCAUAUUCUUUGAUCUCAUUCAUAGAAAUGUCUGGAAUGGGGAAAUCCAUAGAAACGGAAAGGAGAUUAGUGCUCAGGGUUGAGGGUGGCCAAGAGCCAACGAGUAAGGGGUUUCUAUUUUUUUUCUUUUCUUCCCCAAAGCCCCAGUACGUAGUUGUGUAUUCUUGUUGUAAGUCCUUCUAGUUCUUGUAUGUGAGCUGCCACCACAGCAUGGCUGCUGACAGACAAGUGGUGUGGUUCCGCACCCAGGAACCAAACUUUGGCCACUGAAGUGGAGAGCGCUGAACUGUAACCACUGGGCAAUCAGGCCUGGCUCUGGGGUUUCUUUUUGAGGUGAUGAAAAUGUUCUAAAAUCAACUGUGUGAUGGUUGUACAUACCUGUGAAUACACUAAAAAUCGUUUAAAUGGCUGAAUUGUAUGGUGCGUGAAUUCUCUCUCAAUAAAGCUGUUUAAAA